ensembl:misc_RNA Y_RNA Y RNA
GGCUGGUUGAUGGUAAUGGGUUAAUCAGAACUUACUAACAUUAGUGUCGCUAAAGUUGGUAUACAACACCCCACUGCUAAAUUUGCCUGGCUUAAA